GACUAGGAUAACUCCGGGAAACCGGGGCUAAUACUGGAUAACUUUUCUCUCCGCAUGGAGGGAGAUUGAAAGAUGGCUUCGGCUAUCACUUACAGAUGGACCCGCGGCGCAUUAGCUAGUUGGUGAGGUAACGGCUCACCAAGGCAACGAUGCGUAGCCGACCUGAGAGGGUGAUCGGCCACAUUGGGACUGAGACACGGCCCAAACUCCUACGGGAGGCAGCAGUAGGGAAUCUUCCGCAAUGGACGAAAGUCUGACGGAGCAACGCCGCGUGAGUGAAGAAGGUCUUCGGAUCGUAAAACUCUGUUGUUAGGGAAGAACAAGUAUCGUUCGAAUAGGGCGGUACCUUGACGGUACCUAACCAGAAAGCCAAGGCUAACUACGUGCCAGCAGCCGCGGUAAUACGUAGGUGGCAAGCGUUGUCCGGAAUUAUUGGGCGUAAAGCGCGCGCAGGCGGUCUUUUAAGUCUGAUGUGAAAGCCCACGGCUCAACCCGUGGAGGGUCAUUGGAAACUGGAAGACUUGAGUGCAGAAGAGGAGAGUGGAAUUCCACGUGUAGCGGUGAAAUGCGUAGAGAUGUGGAGGAACACCAGUGGCGAAGGCGACCUCUCCUGGUCCUGUAACUGACGCCUGAGGGGCGCGAAAGCGUGGGGAGCAACAGGAUUAGAUACCCUGGUAGUCCACGCCGUAAACGAUGAGUGCUAAGUGUUAGAGGGUUUCCGCCCUUUAGUGCUGCAGCUAACGCAUUAAGCACUCCGCUGGGGAGUACGACCGCAAGGUUGAAACUCAAAGGAAUUGACGGGGGCCCGCACAAGCGGUGGAGCAUGUGGUUUAAUUCGAAGCAACGCGAAGAACCUUACCAGGUCUUGACAUCCUCUGACCUCCCUAGAGAUAGGGCCUUCCCCUUCGGGGGACAGAGUGACAGGUGGUGCAUGGUUGUCGUCAGCUCGUGUCGUGAGAUGUUGGGUUAAGUCCCGCAACGAGCGCAACCCU
rnacentral:rRNA from 1 species